GGGGUUGUGGCUCAGAGGUAGAGCACUCGCCUAGCAAGUGUGAGGCUCUGGGUUUGAUCCUCAGCACCACA
rnacentral:tRNA from 1 species